rnacentral:rRNA from 1 species
AGAGUUUGAUCCUGGCUCAGAACGAACGCUGGCGGCAGGCCUGAGGCAUGCAAGUCGAACGAUAAAGUGUAGUAAUACAUGAUUAAAGUGGCGCACGAGUGAGUAACGCGUGGGAAUAUACCUUUUUGUGGGGAAUAACGUUUGGAAACGAACGCUAAUACCGCAUACGCCGUUUUGGUUGGUGCCAUUACGGGAAAGAUUUAUCGCAAAAAGAUUAGCCCGCGUUGGAUUAGUUUGUUGGUGGGGUAAAGGCCUACCAAGACUAUGAUCCAUAGCUGGUCUGAGAGGACGAUCAGCCACGCUGGAACUGAGACACGGUCCAGACUCCUACGGGAGGCAGCAGCUAGGAAUAUUGGACAAUGGGCGAAAGCCUGAUCCAGCCAUGCCGCGUGAGUGAAGAAGGCCUUCGGGUUGUAAAACUCUUUUAAUAGUGAAGAUAAUGACGGUAGCUAUAGAAAAAGCCCCGGCUAACUUCGUGCCAGCAGCCGCGGUAAUACGAAGGGGGCUAGCGUUGUUCGGAUUUACUGGGCGUAAAGCGCAUGUAGGCGGUUUAUCAAGUUAGAGGUGAAAUCCCUAGGCUCAACCUAGGAACUGCCUUUAAUACUGAUAGGCUAGAGCAAAAUAGAGGAUAACGGAACUCCCAGUGUAAAGGUGGAAUUUGUAGAUAUUGGGAAGAACACCAGUUGCGAAAGCGGUUAUCUGGAUUUUAGCUGACGCUGAGAUGCGAAAGUGUGGGGAGCAAACAGGAUUAGAUACCCUGGUAGUCCACACCGUAAACGAUGAGUGCUAACUGUUGGGUUUUUUUACUCAGUGGUUGAGCUAACGCGUUAAGCACUCCGCCUGGGGACUACGGUCGCAAGACUAAAACUUAAAGGAAUUGACGGGGACCCGCACAAGCGGUGGAUUAUGUUGUUUAAUUCGAAGGUACGCGAAAAACCUUACCAACCCUUGACAUGUCUCACGCGACUUCUAGAGAUAGUUGUCUUCAGUUCGGCUGGUGAGAACACAGAUGUUGCAUGGCCGUCGUCAGCUCGUGUCGUGAGAUGUUGGGUUAAGUCCCGCAACGAGCGCAACCCCUAUCAUUAUUUGCCAUCAGGUUAUGCUGGGAACUAUAAUGAAACUGCCAAUGAUAAGUUGGAGGAAGGCGGGGAUGAUGUCAGGUCAUCACGGCUCUUACGGGUUGGGCCACAAACGUAAUACAAUGGUGCUUACAAUAAGUCGCAAUAUCGCAAGGUAGAGCUAAUCUUUUAAAAAGCAUCUCAGUCCGGAUUGUCCUCUGCAACUCGAGGGCAUGAAGUUGGAAUCGCUAGUAAUCGUGGAUCAGAAUGCCACGGUGAAUACGUUCUCGGGUCUUGUACACACCGCCCAUCAAGUCAUGGAAAUUGAUUUUACCCGAAGAUGGUACCUUAACCGCAAGGAGGGGGCUAGCUACGGUAAGAUUAGUAACUGGGAUUAAGUUGUAACAAGGUAGGCGUACGAGAACGUGCGCCUG